GGGGGUAUAGCUCAGCUGGGAGAGUGCUUGACUGGCAGUCAAGAGGUCACGGGUUCGAGCCCCGUUAUCUCCACCA
rnacentral:tRNA from 2 species